rnacentral:lncRNA from 1 species
AUCCCUAACAAAGUAAGACAAAAGUCAAUAUAUAUUUACAAAAUAUUAGAAAGCCUACAAGCAUAGAUAAGUGUUAGUACCUUUUAUCUAUCCAAAAUGAAUGUCCAACCUUCUUCUUUCUCUGUUCCUAUGUGUACUAAGAGGUUAGUCAGAAACAAUAUCCAGCUCUCUUUAUUCUCAGCCUUAACAACGACCCAUGCAAUAAGAAAAAUGUCAUCAUUUCCAUCUCUCCCAAUAGCUGACGUAGUUACUAAAUCGGCUAUAUAGGUAAGCCGACCCCAUAAAAGAAGGAAGGUGGGGGGCCCAGCCCAACAAGUGUUGGAAUGCAUAGGCGAUUUCAUGCAUG